rnacentral:rRNA from 1 species
GGUUGAAGUUCAGGUAACACUGAAUGGAGGACCGAACCGACUUACGUUGAAAAGUGAGCGGAUGAACUGAGGGUAGCGGAGAAAUUCCAAUCGAACCUGGAGAUAGCUGGUUCUCUCCGAAAUAGCUUUAGGGCUAGCCUCAAGUGAUGAUUAUUGGAGGUAGAGCACUGUUUGGACGAGGGGCCCCUCUCGGGUUACCGAAUUCAGACAAACUCCGAAUGCCAAUUAAUUUAACUUGGGAGUCAGAACAUGGGUGAUAAGGUCCGUGUUCGAAAGGGAAACAGCCCAGACCACCAGCUAAGGUCCCAAAAUAUAUGUUAAGUGGAAAAGGAUGUGGCGUUGCCCAGACAACUAGGAUGUUGGCUUAGAAGCAGCCAUCAUUUAAAGAGUGCGUAAUAGCUCACUAGUCGAGUGACACUGCGCCGAAAAUGUACCGGGGCUAAACAUAUUACCGAAGCUGUGGAUUGUCCUUUGGACAAUGGUAGGAGAGCGUUCUAAGGGCGUUGAAGCAUGAUCGUAAGGACAUGUGGAGCGCUUAGAAGUGAGAAUGCCGGUGUGAGUAGCGAAAGACGGGUGAGAAUCCCGUCCACCGAUUGACUAAGGUUUCCAGAGGAAGGCUCGUCCGCUCUGGGUUAGUCGGGUCCUAAGCUGAGGCCGACAGGCGUAGGCGAUGGAUAACAGGUUGAUAUUCCUGUACCACCUAUAAUCGUUUUAAUCGAUGGGGGGACGCAGUAGGAUAGGCGAAGCGUGCGAUUGGAUUGCACGUCUAAGCAGUAAGGCUGAGUAUUAGGCAAAUCCGGUACUCGUUAAGGCUGAGCUGUGAUGGGGAGAAGACAUUGUGUCUUCGAGUCGUUGAUUUCACACUGCCGAGAAAAGCCUCUAGAUAGAAAAUAGGUGCCCGUACCGCAAACCGACACAGGUAGUCAAGAUGAGAAUUCUAAGGUGAGCGAGCGAACUCUCGUUAAGGAACUCGGCAAAAUGACCCCGUAACUUCGGGAGAAGGGGUGCUCUUUAGGGUUAACGCCCAGAAGAGCCGCAGUGAAUAGGCCCAAGCGACUGUUUAUCAAAAACACAGGUCUCUGCUAAACCGUAAGGUGAUGUAUAGGGGCUGACGCCUGCCCGGUGCUGGAAGGUUAAGAGGAGUGGUUAGCUUCUGCGAAGCUACGAAUCGAAGCCCCAGUAAACGGCGGCCGUAACUAUAACGGUCCUAAGGUAGCGAAAUUCCUUGUCGGGUAAGUUCCGACCCGCACGAAAGGCGUAACGAUUUGGGCACUGUCUCAACGAGAGACUCGGUGAAAUCAUAGUACCUGUGAAGAUGCAGGUUACCCGCGACAGGACGGAAAGACCCCGUGGAGCUUUACUGUAGCCUGAUAUUGAAAUUCGGCACAGCUUGUACAGGAUAGGUAGGAGCCUUUGAAACGUGAGCGCUAGCUUACGUGGAGGCGCUGGUGGGAUACUACCCUAGCUGUGUUGGCUUUCUAACCCGCACCACUUAUCGUGGUGGGAGACAGUGUCAGGCGGGCAGUUUGACUGGGGCGGUCGCCUCCUAAAAGGUAACGGAGGCGCUCAAAGGUUCCCUCAGAAUGGUUGGAAAUCAUUCAUAGAGUGUAAAGGCAUAAGGGAGCUUGACUGCGAGACCUACAAGUCGAGCAGGGUCGAAAGACGGACUUAGUGAUCCGGUGGUUCCGCAUGGAAGGGCCAUCGCUCAACGGAUAAAAGCUACCCCGGGGAUAACAGGCUUAUCUCCCCCAAGAGUUCACAUCGACGGGGAGGUUUGGCACCUCGAUGUCGGCUCAUCGCAUCCUGGGGCUGUAGUCGGUCCCAAGGGUUGGGCUGUUCGCCCAUUAAAGCGGUACGCGAGCUGGGUUCAGAACGUCGUGAGACAGUUCGGUCCCUAUCCGUCGUGGGCGUAGGAAAUUUGAGAGGAGCUGUCCUUAGUACGAGAGGACCGGGAUGGACAUACCUCUGGUGUACCAGUUGUCGUGCCAACGGCAUAGCUGGGUAGCUAUGUGUGGACGGGAUAAGUGCUGAAAGCAUCUAAGCAUGAAGCC